GGCCUCCAUCUUGAAAACGGAAAAUAAAAACAGCAGACCUAUGAAGGUCGAAGGGGAAGAAAAGCUGUAUCGAUUGUUGAGAUCUGGCGACUUGUUUAAAUUUCAUCAGCCUCACUUCUAUGAACUCUCAGAGCUGAUUACCAACUCCUACCACUGUUAACCCUCAUCCAGGAACAAGCUUAUGUCUUUAACAUUCUGAGUGGGCUUCAGCAUCCUUGCAUAUGUUCAAUUCUUAAAAACCUGUUGAAAUAAAAGAUCAGGAGACAUAGGAAGGAUGCCAGAAGAGAGCGUGGCCUCACGUGUACCAGCUCUCUGCUCUCCUUUGCCUUGGGACGUUCCAUCCCUGGAAGUUUCCCUGCCCACAUCUUUGUAGAGAGUCCAUUCUCCAAGCUUCAGUGUGUCAUCUGUGAGGACCGUGACCCACCUGGUACAUCGCCUCAGGGCAUUCAUUUCAGGCUCCUUCUAAAUGGCCAAGGAUCUUGGAAGCAGAGGGAUCUGCAGAAGUGCUUGCAACACUUUCAGCCUUAACCAGCAUCAGAGACAAAAAUCCUUUCUGGAAUGAGUCUUCUGCCAGCCUAACAAGCAUAGCAAGAAGAUAUAGCCCCACAACCACUUUAUGCACAAAGUUAGAAGCAUAAAAUCUCAUGGAAGGAGACCGAUUAUCUACAGAAGAGGUUGUCUUGCCAUUUCUCUCAUGUUAGAGGUAAACCUCAGGUUCUCCUCCUGCCUUUUGCUAAGUAUAUGUCUUGAUGACAAGCCUUCUGCUGAUGAGCUGUGUUUCUGGACCGAUCAUGGUAGAAGUCAAUUAACGUGUCCCUCACUUGGGGUUUCUCAAGGCUGCACUGAUGAGGAAACUGAAACAGAAAAUCCAGAGUAAAUUCCACCAGGCCACACAGCAAGGUCUGAUAGAGCCAGGAGAGACUUUAUGAAAUCCAGACUCUCACACUAAUGCUCUAUCAGCUAGACCUCCAUGUGAGUCUCCCCAAUGUAGGUAGGAAGUGCUUUCCC
rnacentral:lncRNA from 1 species